GACCGGAGUGGACGCAUCACUGGUGUUCGGGUUGUCAUGCCAAUGGCACUGCCCGGUAGCUAAAUGCGGAAGAGAUAAGUGCUGAAAGCAUCUAAGCACGAAACUUGCCCCGAGAUGAGUUCUCCCUGACUCCUUGAGAGUCCUGAAGGAACGUUGAAGACGACGACGUUGAUAGGCCGGGUGUGUAAGCGCAGCGAUGCGUUGAGCUAACCGGUACUAAUGAACCGUGAGGCUUAACCUUACAACGCCGAAGGUGUUUUG
rnacentral:rRNA from 1 species